rnacentral:rRNA from 1 species
GACGAACGCUGGCGGCGUGCUUAACACAUGCAAGUCGAGCGGAAAGGCCCUUCGGGGUACUCGAGCGGCGAACGGGUGAGGAACACGUGAGCAACCUGCCCUCGGCUUUGGGAUAACCCUCGGAAACCGGGGCUAAUACCGGAUAGGACCUCCUGCCGCAUGGUGGGGGGUGGGAAGUUUUUCGGCUUGGGAUGGGCUCGCGGCCUAUCAGCUUGUGGGUGGGGUGAUGGCCUACCAAGGCGGUGACGGGUAUCCGGCCUGAGAGGGCGACCGGCCACACUGGGACUGAGACAGGGCCCAGACUCCUACGGGAGGCAGCAGUGGGGAAUAUUGCACAAUGGGCGGAAGCCUGAUGCAGCGACGCCGCGUGAGGGAUGACGGCCUUCGGGUUGUAAACCUCUUUCAGCAGGGACGAAGCGUGAGUGACGGUACCUGCAGAAGAAGCGCCGGCCAACUACGUGCCAGCCGCCGCGGUAACAC